rnacentral:tRNA from 1 species
AGGCGCGUAGCUCAGUGGUUAGAGCGCUACCUUGACACGGUAGAGGUCGGGGGUUCGAUACCCCCCGUGCCUA